rnacentral:rRNA from 1 species
GAUGAACGCUGGCGGCGUGCCUAACACAUGCAAGUCGAGCGAAGCGCUUAAAUUAGAUUUCUUCGGAAUGACGAUUUUUGUGACUGAGCGGCGGACGGGUGAGUAACGCGUGGGUAACCUGCCUCAUACAGGGGGAUAACAGUUAGAAAUGACUGCUAAUACCGCAUAAGACCCCAGCUUCGCAUGAAGCGGUGGUAAAAACUCCGGUGGUAUGAGAUGGACCCGCGUCUGAUUAGCUAGUUGGUAAGGUAACGGCUUACCAAGGCGACGAUCAGUAGCCGAGCUGAGAGGGUGACCGGCCACAUUGGGACUGAGGCACGGCCCAGACUCCUACGGGAGGGAGCAGUGGGGAAUAUUGCACAAUGGGGGAAACCCUGAUGCAGCGACGCCGCGUGAAGGAUGAAGUAUUUCGGUAUGUAAACUUCUAUCAGCAGGGAAGAAAGUGACGGUACCUGACUAAGAAGCCCCGGCUAACUACGUG